ACGCUCGACACCUACGGGAGCAGCAGUGGGGAAUAUUGCACAAUGGAGGAAACUCUGAUGCAGCGAUGCCGCGUGAGGGAAGAAGGUUUUCGGAUUGUAAACCUCUGUCUUUGGGGACGAUAAUGACGGUACCCAAGGAGGAAGCUCCGGCUAACUACGUGCCUGCAGCCGCGGUAAUCUGAGCGGGCUGGCGAAGGC
rnacentral:rRNA from 1 species